GGAGCUUGCUCCACCGGAAAAAGAAGAGUGGCGAACGGGUGAGUAACACGUGGGUAACCUGCCCAUCAGAAGGGGAUAACACUUGGAAACAGGUGCUAAUACCGUAUAACAAUCAAAACCGCAUGGUUUUGAUUUGAAAGGCGCUUUCGGGUGUCGCUGAUGGAUGGACCCGCGGUGCAUUAGCUAGUUGGUGAGGUAACGGCUCACCAAGGCCACGAUGCAUAGCCGACCUGAGAGGGUGAUCGGCCACAUUGGGACUGAGACACGGCCCAAACUCCUACGGGAGGCAGCAGUAGGGAAUCUUCGGCAAUGGACGAAAGUCUGACCGAGCAACGCCGCGUGAGUGAAGAAGGUUUUCGGAUCGUAAAACUCUGUUGUUAGAGAAGAACAAGGAUGAGAGUAACUGUUCAUCCCUUGACGGUAUCUAACCAGAAAGCCACGGCUAACUACGUGCCAGCAGCCGCGGUAAUACGUAGGUGGCAAGCGUUGUCCGGAUUUAUUGGGCGUAAAGCGAGCGCAGGCGGUUUCUUAAGUCUGAUGUGAAAGCCCCCGGCUCAACCGGGGAGGGUCAUUGGAAACUGGGAGACUUGAGUGCAGAAGAGGAGAGUGGAAUUCCAUGUGUAGCGGUGAAAUGCGUAGAUAUAUGGAGGAACACCAGUGGCGAAGGCGGCUCUCUGGUCUGUAACUGACGCUGAGGCUCGAAAGCGUGGGGAGCAAACAGGAUUAGAUACCCUGGUAGUCCACGCCGUAAACGAUGAGUGCUAAGUGUUGGAGGGUUUCCGCCCUUCAGUGCUGCAGCUAACGCAUUAAGCACUCCGCCUGGGGAGUACGACCGCAAGGUUGAAACUCAAAGGAAUUGACGGGGGCCCGCCCAAGCGGUGGAGCAUGUGGUUUAAUUGGAAGCAACGCGAAGACCCUUACCAGGUCUUGACAUCCUUUGACCACUCUAGAGAUAGAGCUUCCCCUUCGGGGGCAAAGUGCCAGGUGGUGCAUGGUUGUCGUCAGCUCGUGUCGUGAGAUGUUGGGUUAAGUCCCGCAACGAGCGCAACCCUUAUUGUUAGUUGCCAUCAUUCAGUUG
rnacentral:rRNA from 1 species